CUAUCGCUUACAGAUGGGCCCGCGGUGCAUUAGCUAGUUGGUAGGGUAAUGGCCUACCAAGGCAACGAUGCAUAGCCGACCUGAGAGGGUGAUCGGCCACACUGGGACUGAGACACGGCCCAGACUCCUACGGGAGGCAGCAGUAGGGAAUCUUCCGCAAUGGACGAAAGUCUGACGGAGCAACGCCGCGUGUAUGAAGAAGGUUUUCGGAUCGUAAAGUACUGUUGUUAGAGAAGAACAAGGAUAAGAGUAACUGCUUGUCCCUUGACGGUAUCUAACCAGAAAGCCACGGCUAACUACGUGCCAGCAGCCGCGGUAAUACGUAGGUGGCAAGCGUUGUCCGGAUUUAUUGGGCGUAAAGCGCGCGCAGGCGGUCUUUUAAGUCUGAUGUGA
rnacentral:rRNA from 1 species